AGAGUGAACGCUGGCGGUAGGCCUAACACAUGCAAGUCGAACGGCAGCACAGUAGGAGCUUGCUCUUACGGGUGGCGAGCGGCGGACGGGUGAGGAAUACAUCGGAAUCUACCUUUUGGUGGGGGAUAACGUAGGGAAACUUACGCUAAUACCGCAUACGCCCUUCGGGGGAAAGCCGGGGACCAGCAAUGGCCUGGUGCUGAUAGAUGAGCCGAUGUCGGAUUAGCUAGUUGGUGAGGUAAUGGCUCACCAAGGCGACGAUCCGUAGCUGGUCUGAGAGGAUGAUCAGCC
rnacentral:rRNA from 1 species